rnacentral:piRNA from 1 species
ACGUAGCAUGAAUGCAUUGGAACUAUAC